GUUUUACAUUGAUAUAUUGAAAAAGAAGAAAGAGAGCACAUGCUUAUAAAUGCAUUAUGCCAUUUCCUUAUUUGUCGUAGCAGGUCAAUUCUCUUUUUGCAGGAUUCCUUUGCUUUGUACAAAUUAUGCCGAUAUUGUGGGAAUUUUCCUCAUCAACACCCUGUCCCAUAGUUACCAGAUUCGUCUACCUCUCCUAAGUUUCGCGUCCUAGAUCGGGAGUUCUAAAUUACGAAACAUUUGCAUCGCAAAAUGCUGCGGGACGCGUUCUGAAAUGUCAAAUCUGAUUAACCCAUUUACUCAACACUUACUGUUACUAUUAACACAAAAUCAAAGGGGAAAAUGGCUUAAGAAGAAAAAAACAAAGAAAUUGAUGCCAAUGGUCGAUGCGUCUACCGUUCAACCAUUGCUGCGAGCUUGCAUGUUUUAAUCUCUUCAUAUCAGGAAGGAAACCCACAGCAAGAAAAGUGUCCGUGUUGAUGAACAAAUUUCCUUAUAGACCAAUGAGAAAGGGCAUGAAGAACGGGAAGUUUCAUAAUAGACCAAGAAAAGUGUAUAAAGCAAGAGUUGAAAGUUUUGCUGAUAUAUAGUUGAAACAAGAAGAUGAGAUGAAAAAGAAGAGAAGAUGAGAUGGAAAAAUAAGAUAAGAUGAGAUGUAAAGUAGGAUCAGUUUUGAUGAAGAUAAAGCUGAAUAGGAGAGGAACA
rnacentral:misc_RNA from 1 species